rnacentral:rRNA from 1 species
GGUGACAGGUGCUGCAUGGCUGUCGUCAGCUCGUGUCGUGAGAUGUUGGGUUAAGUCCCGCAACGAGCGCAACCCUCGUCCUUAGUUGCCAGCAUUCAGUUGGGCACUCUAAGGAGACUGCCGGUGUUAAACCGGAGGAAGGCGGGGAUGACGUCAAGUCCUCAUGGCCCUUAUGUCCAGGGCUACACACGUGCUACAAUGGCCGGUACAAAGGGUAGCAAGACCGCGAGGUGGAGCCAAUCCCAAAAAGCCGGUCUCAGUUCGGAUUGGAGUCUGCAACUCGACUCCAUGAAGUUGGAAUCGCUAGUAAUCGUGGAUCAGCAUGCCACGGUGAAUACGUUCCCGGGCCUU